ACUCCUCCAUCGCCGAGUUUCCUGGGGCUGCCCAUGAUUGAUAUUAUUACCGCCAUGGACAUCCCAGAUCCCUUCGGUGUGGCGGAAACUGUUUAAUACAAUACGUCGAAAACCAAGGAAAAAACUACCGCAACCUCUGUUCCAUCAGCCUCAACAGAAAUGUCCAGUGACAGAAGAAGAAAGAGGACUCUCAAAGAUGCCCAAUUAGAGGCACCGGAAAGCCAGG